CUCUCUUUCAAACACUAAAAAAACUUUUUAAAAGGCAUUUUCAUAAAGUACAAGUCCCUAUCAUCCUUUAAAACACCCUACUCGACAUCAUUAUGCUACUCUAGCUACUAUCACACCUCCCAUCCAAACUCAUUAUAUAAAGCUAGUACUUUAUGCUACAUAUAUCCGCUUUCAAUUUUGCUAUAAUAUGGUAUCUGGCCCUACCCUCCACUGGUAGACUUUUUGCUCUUUCAACAAUCACCUUCUGACCAAACCUAAUGGUCACUCAUGUCUUUCUCUUCCUUGCUACCAUUGCAUCUAAUUCACAUGUCUACUGUAGCACUUAUUACAUACCUGGGUUUCAUUAUUCAUCUUUGUAUCCCAGUACUAAUCACAGUUACAGUACUAAUUGUACACGGUAGAUGGUAAAUAUUUGUAAACUCGACAACUGUUAAUUGCACACUAUGUAUCAGGCACUAUGCAAAGUGCUGGGGACACAGAAAAAACAGCCCCAACCUCAAGUUCACAGUGCCAGCAUUCAAUCUAUGUUUACAACAAUGUCUGAACCAUGCCCAUUUUUACAGAUGAGGAGAGAGGUAAAGUCUGGCCAGACAGAAGAGCCAGCUAGCCACUGAGCUGGGGAACUCAAAUCUAGGCUAAACGUUGGUUGGAUCAGUAGUCACAGGGCUCGCUCUUUUUUUCUUUUUGGCGCUCCAUGGCCCUCCAGAUGGUGAUUCGAGUGACGAAGUCUCUCAAACUCUUAGGGGCAGAAUUGAACCCGAACCUGCUUCACAGACCGGAGCCCGAGCCGAGCCAAGGACGCCGCCAUGGUGACCUCCGCACCGGAAGGCCUCGUGCGGGCGGAAGUGUCCGUUACCGCCGCUCUCCCCUCCCUGCCCCCGGCUUCUUCAGGGUGCGGGUCUCUGAUUCUCCAGUAGCUAGCGUUCCGGGUGCUUGGGGCCCUGGACUCCCCACCCCGAGAGGAGGAAGGCCAGCGGGGAGGUGGUUUCGAUACAGGGUAUGGAGGGCCCCAAAGUAAGCGGUCAGUAAAUACCUAUCAUUAAUAGUCCUCUUGUACCACGGCGAAAACAAUAAAUAAUGCAAAAGCCUUGCACUUGGCUGCGAUAA